AACGAACGCUGGCGGCAUGCCUAACACAUGCAAGUCGAACGAGACCUUCGGGUAUAGUGGCGCACGGGUGCGUAACGCGUGGGAACCUGCCCUUAGGUUCGGAAUAACUCCCCGAAAGGGGUGCUAAUACCGGAUAAUGUCUUCGGACCAAAGAUUUAUCGCCUUUGGAUGGGCCCGCGUUGGAUUAGCUAGUUGGUAGGGUAAAAGCCUACCAAGGCGACGAUCCAUAGCUGGUCUGAGAGGAUGAUCAGCCACACUGGGACUGAGACACGGCCCAGACUCCUACGGGAAGCAGCAGUUGGGAAUAUUGGACAAUGGGCGAAAGCCUGAUCCAGCAAUGCCGCGUGAGUGAUGAAGACCUUAGGGUUGUAAAGCUCUUUUACCCGGGAUGAUAAUGACAGUACCGGGAGAAUAAGCUCCGGCUAACUCCGCG
rnacentral:rRNA from 1 species